GGGGGGGGGGCCGCGCGGCCCACGCAGCCCACGCUAGAGGUAGCGGGCGUCUCCCGCGGCGUGGGGCGCGGGCCGGCGGCGGGCAGCGCCUGAGGGGGAAGAGGCGGCUCCGGAGGCGCGGCCUGAGGCGCUGGGCCCAGGGCUCCCGCUCGCUCCGGGGAGGGGACGGGCGACGCCGAGCCCGCACUAGGCCACCGUUUGUUUUUUUUUUUUUUUGGGGGGGGUGGUGUUUUAUUUUUCUCCCCCGUUGUUGUUGUUGGGGGUUUGGGGUUUUUUUUUCCUCCUUCCCCUCAGCGCUGGGCGACGUCCCCCGCGCCGGGCCCGAACCGCCGGGGAAAAUGUCCAGGCCUGUCAGGAACAGGAAGGUCGUCGAUUACUCCCAGUUUCAGGAAUCAGAUGAUGCUGAUGAAGAUUAUGGAAGAGAUUCAGGUCCCCCAUCCAAGAAAAUCCGUUCGUCUCCCCGGGAGGCUAAAAAUAAGAGGCGAUCUGGGAAGAAUUCUCAGGAGGACAGUGAGGAUUCAGAAGAAAAAGAUGUGAAGGCUAAGAAAGACGAUUCACACUCGGCAGAUGAAGAUUUUGGCAGUGAAGAUGAUGACUUAGGAGCAGAUGAUGGCAAAGCUGACAGUGACUAUGAGAGCUCACAAAAAAGCAAAAAAGGAAAAAAGGCUAAACCAGAAAAGAAUAAGAGAGCAGCCUCCAAAUCCAGGAAAAGGCCUGCAGAGGACAGCGAGGACGAGAAAGAAGACCACAAAAAUGUGCGUCAGCAGCGACAGGCAGCAUCCAAAGCAGCUUCUAAACAACGAGAGAUGCUUAUGGAUGAUGUGGGUAGUGAGGAGGAAGAACAAGAGGACGAUGAGGCACAGUUCCAGGAGACAGAUUCAGGAAGCGAUGAAGACUUCCUCAUGGAAGAUGAUGAUGAUAGUGACUAUGGCAGUUCAAAAAAGAAAAAUAAAAAGGUCUCCAAGAAAUCCAAGCCAGAGAGGAAAGAAAAGAAAAUGCCGAAGCCCAGGCUAAAGGCUACAGUGACCCCCAGUCCAGUGAAAGGCAAAGGGAAGGCAGGCCGCCCCACAGCUUCCAAGGCAACAAAAGAAAAGACCCCAUCCCCCAAAGAAGAGGAUGAAGAGCCUGAAAGUCCCCCAGAAAAGAAAAAAUCAGCCAGCCCUCCACCAGAGAAGUCAGGGGAUGAGGGAUCUGAAGAUGAAGCACCCUCUGGUGAAGAUUAAAUGGCAGUUGAGGAAAUCUUUGUUUAAAAAAAAAAAAAGAAAAAAAAAGAAAAAGGAAAAGAAAACAUACUUAGGGGUAGAACACGGUUUUGGCUGUGGCUUGACUCAUGGGCUUUGAAUGCUGUCUUUACUUUCAGCUGUUUAAUACAGUGUAUCCUUUUUUUAAUAAGGAAACCCUUAUACAGUAAUAUUUUGAAGUCAAUGUUCUCUGUUGGCCAUUCCGUUCUCCCUCCCCCACCAAAUCUGAAAGCCAUUUGAGACAAAUUAACAGACCAUUUAAAUAUAUAUUUUUUUCAAGGGAUACUGCAGUUGUGAAGCAAUAAGGUUUGAGACUGAUACGUGGAAACCAUACUUACAAAUCGUUAAGUAGAAUAGAUUUUCCAGUGCUGGAGCAUGAAUAGUUCUUCACGGAGCAGAAAGUUUCAUUCACAGAAGAAGGCUUUGAAAAGAUUGUCUGUUACACAGCUGUAGUUUUGGAGCCUUUGCAGAGAGGUAAAUGGAUUUAUUCCAAAAUUCAGUUAAUCUAGUGCCCUGCCCUGGUCUUACUCUUAAAACGGUAGUUCAUAACUAACUUCCAUUAUAUAUCCUUUCAUACAUUCUGUUUCUGAAUCCACACCAUCACAUUGAGUUUUGCAGUUACAUGCGAAUAGUACUGCCUUUAACUGGCCACAAGGCUUGAUCAGUAAAAAUUUGCAAUUUCAGUUGCAAUUUCAUACUAAAAAUUAUUUGCUUCAGUUUCUGUUUGAUGAGCCUGAGAAUGCCAAACAUGCCAAGCUAAAUGGGUUUCAGAAUGGAUUGUGGGUGAGAGCAAGACUUAGAAAUGGGGCAGCCAAGAAGCUUUUAAUUUUGUUGUUUUAACUUCAUCAAAGCAGAAAAGUGUGUGGGGAGAGAAGCAGCACACCUUGGGUGACUUCUGCUAGGGGAACCUCACCAAUGCCAGGUAACUGUUCUGAGCGUGCUCAGCUCCUGUGCCACCACAUGGCUGCAUCUGCAGGUGAUGGACUACCAGGGCAGUGGCAGAAGAUGCGCUUGAAUUCCUCUUUUUCUUUUUUCUUUUUUUUUUUUUUUUCCCCCUCCCCUCUGCUGGUGAUGGUCACAAAGGUACAAUAGACACUGAGGCACCCAGGUUAAGGAGGGAGGGAAGUAAACUGUAACAUGCUGGAAGCUUUUGAGCUGUAGAAACUGGUGCUUUGCUUUAUGUAAUUUGUUUGUGAAGUGUUUAUUUUUAUAACAGAUCAUAUUGUUGAACACAUGGUUCUUAAAAACUACAAACUGAUCCAUGAGUUUAAUGUUUGAGAAGUGGACGUUCAUCUGUUGGGGGAGGCAGGAUAUGAAAAUGUAAGCAGAUGGAUAUUUAAAGGGACACUGUCACAAAAUAGUUGCUGGCAUAUAGGAUAUGUUAGUUUGGGGGGGGGUCACAUCUGUAUGUGGAAAUUAUAUAUUCUAUAUGUAUAUGAUCAAAUAGAAAAUUUUCCCUGAACUCUGAAUAUUUUCCUACAGUUUUGGGAGGUUUAAAUACAAGUUCUGGUAAUGAAACUAGGAAGCAAAACUAACUAUCCUGUUCUUCCUGUCCAAGAUGACUUUUUUUUUUUUUAAAAGUACUAUGUGGAGUGUGAGAGCUCUGAAAGAUGACAGUGUCCUUUCAAGACCUCCCCAAAUCAAGUGUAUCCUCGUUUUAGACUUCCCACUUCAGUAGAUGACUGGCAUUUGAAUGUCUUUUCAUUGAACUCUUUAUAUUAAAAACAAAACACAAAUAUUUCAAAGUCUAGUCAAGUUCUCACCAUGUGCUGACUCUGUGUAUCAACCACUAUUGGAAACGACUCUCUAGACUGCCUGCCCCCUUCAGCCGCGGUGAAUCGAGUGGGUCCAUCAGUCUGAGCAUGCUCAGUGUGACUGCAAAACACCAUUGUGCAUAUGCUUUGUAUAUUGGGGCAAGGGUUUUUUAUAUAUAUAUUUUGGGAGGGGUAGUGGGUGGGAUGGAGAAAUACUCAAUCAGCUUAAGCCAGAAUAAUGUGUGUAAAAGCCCCUGAAGUAUUUUGUGUGUGAGUGCGCGGGUGUGAGUGCGCGCAUGGGAGUGUCUGACAUCUUAUUCCCUUUGUGUUCUGAAGUGAGUUUUACUUUUUUUUUUCCUGCAGAAGCAAUUGUUACAAAAAAUUGUAUAUAAGAGCUACAUAAUUUUUGUUUAACCAUGAACAUCGUGUCACAGCAAACCCUGAAUAAUCACUUUGAAGGUAGAGGAGGAGACUCCAGGUAGGGCCUUGGGCCUUUGGCUAUCAGCAAGGCAUCAUUAUAUGGUAUGCAAUGAAUAUUUGUCUUGAGUAUUUGCAAUCCCCUGUUGAGCUUUUCUAAAAAUCAGGCUCUUUGCAGUUCCCCUCUCUGCCCCCUUUAAUUUUUUUUUAAUCUCAAGAGCAGACAGAAAAGGGGGCAGCUGCAAACAGUGUCCAGUGCUGCUGGCCGGUGAUCGGUGUGUGUGUGCAGAUGUGGUUGUCAUCACUGGGCCCGAUAGGGUUGGCUACGCUUGCAAUACCUUGACAAUACUGAGAUCUACCGCAUGGUACUAGGAGUUAAGUCUGAAUGUAACAUUAAUGCUUUAUUUAAAAUAAAAACAACACUUUUUUUUUUAAGGGGUUGAAGUGAACAUGACUGUUGACCAUGUUCGUGAAUUUAUAGAUGCAACAUUCAUUGGUAGAAUUGUGUGAUGGUCUUUUGUGCUACUUAAUUUUACAUAUUCCAGUCUCUGUAUGUACCUGCAAAGAAAGAAAAAAAAAAUAACAAAACCCUGCUUUGCUUUUAUUGAAAGGGUUCCCAGGACUGCAUACCUGCUCCUGAGCUCUGUUUUAAGUAUGUGUAUCCUUCGCUUGUAUUUUGUAUUAAAAAAAACCACAAGGAAAAAGAACCCUUUAUUGUUCAGCAUGUUGGAAUUGUGUCCCCUCUUUUAUUUUUCUCCUUUUUGGAAUAUAUUAAGCAACUCAUUCUUCUGUAUCUUUUAUUUUCUUUUGUAAACUUUUUGGUUUUGUUUAAAAAUGGCUUUAUAAAAGGGCUUUUAUAACCCAUAAA